AGAAUCAACGCUGGCGGCGUGCCUAACACAUGCAAGUCGAACGAGAAAGUGGAGCAAUCCAUGAGUAAAGUGGCGCACGGGUGAGUAACACGUGACUAACCUACCCUUGAGUGGGGGAUAACCUAGGGAAACCUGGGCUAAUACCGCAUAAUACCUUCGGGUCAAAGGAGCAAUUCGCUUGAGGAGGGGGUCGCGGCAGAUUAGUUAGUUGGCGGGGUAAUGGCCCACCAAGACGAUGAUCUGUA
rnacentral:rRNA from 1 species